rnacentral:rRNA from 1 species
UCAAUCUAGGGCGCGGCGGCGGGGGUAAUAGAGAGGCGUGAAUCGUUGGUCUGAUUCAUUGGGCGUAAAGGGUGCGCAGGCGGUGUGUUAAGUCCGAUGUGAAAUUUCACAGCGUAACUGUGAACGGUCAUUUGAAACUAGCAUGCUUGAGGACUGGAGAGGAGACUGGAAUGGUCGGGGUAGCGGUGAAAUGCGUAGAGAUCGACCAGAACACCGGUGGCGAAGGCGGGUCUCUGGACAGUUCCUGACGCUCAGGCACGAAAGCCAGGGGAGCAAACGGGAUUAGAUACCCCAGUAGUC